GCACAAUUCCGAGUUUCACUCUCACAAUUCGAAUUUGGCGAUUUUUGACUUCUCAGUUCUCACUCCUCAUAAUUCCGAUUUUUGACUCCUCACUCUUCACUCCUCACAAUUCGACUCUUUUCUCCUCACUCCUCAGUCAUGAACGAACUCAGUAGUUAGUGUUGACUCCUCACUCCUCAGAAAGUCAAUUCUGACUUAGGGCAAGGCGAUAGUUUCAUAAAUUCCGAGCAAACGAAGACCAAAUAUAGAAAGUGAUCGGCUGUUGUUACACUGCUUCUACCAUACUGUUGCUGCUAUACUACUGCUGCUAAUGUGGUCUGUCUAAAAUACUUUUGUUAGAUCUACUCAGGAAGUUUAUGUAGAAGCAUUUGAAGUUUAUCAUGUUUGGUUUGUGAGACUUAUUUGCUAGAUCUGCUGAAAUCGUUUUUGAGUUUGGUUGAAUGUAGAAGCACUAUUAAUACUUGCACAAUUUCACUCGUUCCAGCUAGGCUGAAUUUUGAUGCCACAGGCAUUCCAAGUAGUUC
rnacentral:lncRNA from 1 species